rnacentral:rRNA from 1 species
UACGUAGGGUGCGAGCGUUGUCCGGAAUUAUUGGGCGUAAAGAGCUCGUAGGCGGUCUGUCGCGUCGGUCGUGAAAACCUGCAGCUUAACUGUGGGCGUGCGGUCGAUACGGGCAUGACUGGAGUUCGGCAGGGGAGACUGGAAUUCCUGGUGUAGCGGUGAAAUGCGCAGAUAUCAGGAGGAACACCGGUGGCGAAGGCGGGUCUCUGGGCCGAUACUGACGCUGAGGAGCGAAAGCUAGGGGAGCAAACGGG